UACGUAGGGUGCAAGCGUUAAUCGGAAUUACUGGGCGUAAAGCGUGCGCAGGCGGUGAUGUAAGACAGAUGUGAAAUCCCCGGGCUCAACCUGGGAACUGCAUUUGUGACUGCAUCGCUGGAGUGCGGCAGGGGGGGAUGGAAUUCCGCGUGUAGCAGUGAAAUGCGUAGAUAUGCGGAGGAACACCGAUGGCGAAGGCAGUCCCCUGGACCUGUACUGACGCUCAUGCACGAAAGCGUGGGGAGCAAACAGG
rnacentral:rRNA from 1 species